GGAGAAGAAGCACCGGCUAACUCCGUGCCAGCAGCCGCGGUAAGUACGGAGGGUGCGAGCGUUAAUCGGAAUUACUGGGCGUAAAGCGCACGUAGGCGGCAAAGUAAGUUGGAUGUGAAAGCCCCAGGCUUAACCUGGGAAUGGCAUUCAAUACUGUUUUGCUAGAGUAUGAUAGAGGAUAGUGGAAUUCCUGGUGUAGCGGUGAAAUGCAUAGAUAUCAGGAGGAACAUCAGUGGCGAAGGCGACUGUCUGGAUCAAUACUGACGCUGAGGAGCGAAAGCGUGGGGAUCAAACAGGAUUAGAUACCCUGGUAGUCCACGCUGUAAACGAUGAGAACUAGCCGUUGGGCACAAAAAGUGCUUAGUGGCGCAGCUAACGCGAUAAGUUCUCCGCCUGGGGAGUACGGUCGCAAGACUAAAACUCAAAGGAAUUGACGGGGGC
rnacentral:rRNA from 1 species